rnacentral:misc_RNA from 1 species
AAUGUUGAUGUAUUCGGUUGAGUCCAGAAUGAAUUAGAAUGCAUCGAAUUUAUCAUUGAUAUGCUAAUGAUUGUAUGGUUCGAUGGUCAGAGCGGGAAUUUUGAAUAGGUAGUGGUAUGUGAUGCUAGCGGAGAAACGCGUCACUUCACGCUUGCUAGCAGCAACGCAACACACGUUAUUUUUUAGAGCUGUCGCCAUUUUCAACACUUUAAACAUGUCAUCAACUCCAGCUACGAAAGAGGACAUUCAGGAGCUAUUGGCUCAAUUCUCAUCUAGUCAAGCUAAGAUACUGGAAGACAAGAUAGCUGAAGCUUCUGCCAAUUUUGAUACGAAGCUCAAAUCCGCCACUAGCGUCAAAUUAACCUGGAAAAGGGAAGGCCAUAAACGACAAUAUAACUUUAAUCAGUCCGUAUUGGAUCACGUCGUAGAAGCUGAACGCAAAAACCAGUCCACUGAAGUGCAGCAAGAGCUAACCAGUAUUAAAGCUCUGCUCGAGCAUCGUCAAAAGCUAAUCCGACUAGCCGAUACCAGCCCCUCUGGCUGGGCAACAGUCGAAGAAUACGAGAAUAACGAGUUGGCCAACGACUCCGGAGAUGACAAGAAGAUCACAAGGGCAGAAGACAGGGCGGCCAGAAAGCUUAAAGCGGCGUCCAGUAAGAAGUCCGCCGGGGCCAAGAGAUUCAAGACCGGUGACUACCACUACCAGACUCCUGCUCCCGCUACUACUUCUGUCGCUCCUGCUUCUCAAUUCCAGUUUUUUCGUGGCCAACGAUUCCCAACCAGCAAAGACAUCUGCUACGCUUGCGGAAGCCAAGGUCACUGGAGAAAAGCCUGUCCAAACAUCAGUAGAAGGCAAGACAAGAGCAACACCCCAAGUUUCUCCACCUAGCAAGGACACCGCAGCAAGCAAGUCUAGCACGUUCAAUGAAGUUGAGUUAUGUUAAUUUACCGAUAAUUUCUUUGAGUACGAAGAAAGGUGUUCCACAGGUUGCAAAAUUCAAGUGGCUGGUCGUUUACAUCAUCAUUAUGAUUUUUGGAGAGCAAUUAAUGCCAAUUCCUAUGUAUUAGACAUAAUUAGCAACGGAUACAUGAUUCCGUUUUAUGAAACACCACCACACACGCCGAAUGUUGAGAAAUCCAAACAAGGGUUGAAUAAUCGCUCAGCCAUCAAUAAUAGCGAAUUUGUCACAAAUGCAAUUUCAGAUUUAUUAGAGACGCACUGCGUCUUGCCUUGCACAGAACAACCAUACAUAGUGAAUCCUUUGUCAGUUUCAGUACAAAAAUCAGGCAAGAGGAGAUUAAUACUAGAUUUGAGAGAAGUGAACAGGUUUUUAUGGAAGCUAUCUGUCAAGUACGAAGAUAUGCGUACAGCGAUGUUAUAUCUUCAAAAGGGGGGUUUUAUGUUCCAGUUUGACCUAAAAUCGGGAUACCACCAUAUUAGCAUUCGUACAGAACAUCAACAGUACUUGGGAUUUUCCUGGUUUUACAAAGGUGCCUUUACAUUCUUCAAGUUUACUGUAUUACCAUUUGGUUUAUCCGCUGCCCCAUACGUUUUCACCAAAGUGGUGAGACCACUUGUACAGAAGUGGAGAAGUGAAGGUAAACAAAUAGUUGUGUUCCUAGACGAUGGUUUGUGUUAUGCAGAGAGCUUUCAGAAAGCCAGAGAGCACAGUGCUCAAGUUAAAGUUGACCUGGUCAAUGCGGGGUUCGUACCUAAUGUACAAAAGAGUACUUGGGACCCGGUUUCAGAGACCGAGUGGUUAGGUCUGAUAAUUGACCUAAAGAAUGGUUCUCUUGUUUUGCCAAACAGACGAAUAAACAGCAUCAAGGAACGAAUUCAAGAACUGUUAACUCCCAAGUCAGCAGAUUCUGGAAUCCAGGUGCUCAGGCAACCGAUGCGUUCACCCAAGAUUGGGCAGGGGAAAAUAACUGGUUGGUUCCCCCGAUACAUUUGAUUCCAAGAGUCAUACAUCAGUUAAUAGCCAACAGAGCUGAGGGGACAUUGAUAUGCCCCGCCUGGAGAUCAUCCCCUUACUGGGUGUUAUUAUUCCCAGAUGGUUACAAUGAAAGAUCAGAAAUCACAAGUAUCCAUGAAUUUGUGAGUCCUUUCCCACUUUUUGAGAAUGGUCGAAGUAAUAACUCUAAGUUCAUUCAUGAUAUUGUGCGCAGUACAGUACUAGCGGUCAGGUUCAGCAGUUAUCAAUGAGUUUCUGUACAAGCGUUCAGAACGCUUGGGCUUGGUGCCUUACUAGUGUAGAGACCCAAGGGGUCAAUUCUGAAAUGGAGAAAAUUAGGAAUUAAAACAGUGCAUAUUGUAAAGUAAUAACAUAUAUGUUGUAACAAAGUUCUUUGUCUCUU